rnacentral:rRNA from 1 species
AUGACGGUGCUGUGCCGGAACUACCGGGAUCUAGGCCACCCCAGAACAGUUCGAGAGCUUGUGUGCCUUGUUUGCACCUACAGCCCCACUGUCGUGUUCAUCUCAGAGACAAUGCAGUGUGAAGAGAGCGUGAAAAGAAUAAGAGCGAGGAUAGGUCUGCAAAAUUGUAUCACCCAUGACGGGGUAGGCAAAGGUGCCGUUAUAUUGCCCUAUUUUGGGACCAUAGCAUUGAAAUAA